CGUGAAGCAUCGGCGUCAAACAGGAUCAUCUGGCUUCUGGCUAUUUGCCUCUGGUGUUACCAAAACUCUGACUGCGGAUUUAUGCCCCCGUGUGUGUGUCCUUCGUGACCUAAAUGUCCCAAGGUCCCCGCCGCCCCGCACCCCUUCCCCUGAGUUGGGCUGUAUUACGGGAAGAGGACGUGCUCAAGCGACGAACCCGUUGCAGGAGGCAGCAAACCAUGAGCAAAACGUUUUUCUCGCCUUAAUAUGAUUAAUAAAAACGAUUCAACUCGAUGCGGUUUUUUGUGUGUGUGGCGACGUACAAAAAGCGCAGCCGACACGUGGACUACUUGAGCGUGUCCUUUCAUUUUAUUUUAUUUUUUUCCUGAAAGAACAAAAAACACACAAGCCUCUAAUAAAAUCUUCAAGAGCAAGUGCGCUCCAUUACUUCA